GGCUUGAAACUAACUGUUGGAGGUUCGAUUCCUUCCCUUCUCG
rnacentral:tRNA from 1 species